CUACUCGACAUAGCUGCCUGUUACGUGGUGAUCUGUGACUUGAAAUGGAGUUACAAGGAUUAGGAUGUCUCCAAGACUUGUUAGUCCAUCCGAGGAUACAUAGUGUAUUGACAAGAGGAAGUCUAAUAGUUUUGCUAUGAAAUAUUAAAAUUUUACUUCCUUCUCGAAUAGUCAGGAUCGCCAUGCAAAUGAGGGUCGUUUUCAAUGCUAGGGAGAAUAUACGUUUUAGUGAUAUACUAUUAAGUUGAGGAGUGUUGGAAGUCUUUGCCCUAUUAUGAUGUACGCCGAGAGGGUUUCAUCCUUCUAAUAAGGAGGAGCUAUCAUCCUUUUGAUCAAGGGUAUAGAAGAAAACCUUCGUCGUAGAGAACUCGGCCUACAGGACGUCGUGGAUACAUUAGUUACGGGGUAUUUGAGGAAUAAGGGUGACCAUUAACGGUCUAGACGCAACCCCUUCGUCUUUUAGAAAAUUCAGCCUACAGGCCUUCGUGGAAACAUCAGUUACGGAGUAACUGAGGAAGAAUAGAUGACCAUUAAAGGAAGUCAGCAUACCACCAAAUGAUAGCGUCGAUGUUGGUGUACAAGUGGGCACUCCUUCACGUGGCAAAUUGAUUAAAGUGUGAAAACACCCAAUGACCGUGUGAGCAGUGACUAGAUUUUUCAGUAUUGUCAGGAAAUAUUUAUCUUACUUGGCAGCAUGUAAAGUAUGUUGUAUUUGUUUAUUGCAGUUUUUAUUUAAAACGUAGCCUCAGGUAGAAAGACAUGUUACAUGUCCUAUAUAAAACUUGGUCACAAAGACAUGUUAUAUGUCCUAUAUAAAACUUUGUCACAAAAGACAUGCUUAUGAAAUUUA